rnacentral:rRNA from 2 species
UUGACCUCGGAUCAGGUAGGGAUACCCGCUGAACUUAAGCAUAUCAAUAAGCGGAGGAAAAGAAACCAACAGGGAUUGCCCUAGUAACGGCGAGUGAAGCGGCAACAGCUCAAAUUUGAAAUCUGGCUCUUUCAGAGUCCGAGUUGUAAUUUGCAGAGGGCGCUUUGGCUUUGGCAGCGGUCCAAGUUCCUUGGAACAGGACGUCACAGAGGGUGAGAAUCCCGUACGUGGUCGCUAGCUAUUGCCGUGUAAAGCCCCUUCGACGAGUCGAGUUGUUUGGGAAUGCAGCUCUAAAUGGGAGGUAAAUUUCUUCUAAAGCUAAAUAUUGGCCAGAGACCGAUAGCGCACAAGUAGAGUGAUCGAAAGAUGAAAAGCACUUUGGAAAGAGAGUCAAACAGCACGUGAAAUUGUUGAAAGGGAAGCGCUUGCAGCCAGACUUGCUUGCAGUUGCUCAUCCGGGCUUUUGCCCGGUGCACUCUUCUGUAGGCAGGCCAGCAUCAGUUUGGGCGGUGGGAUAAAGGUCUCUGUCACGUACCUCUCUUCGGGGAGGCCUUAUAGGGGAGACGACAUACCACC